rnacentral:rRNA from 1 species
CCGGCGACCGGCGCACGGGUGAGUAACGCGUAUGCAACCUGGCCGUGACAGAUGGAUAACCGGGAGAAAUCCCGCCUAAUACAACAUAAUGCCGGGAGGGGACAUCCCCUGCCGGUCAAAGGGGGCGACCCCGGUCAUGGAUGGGCAUGCGGCGCAUUAGGUAGUUGGUGGGGCAACGGCCCACCAAGCCGACGAUGCGUAGGGGUUCUGAGAGGAAGGUCCCCCACAUUGGAACUGAGACACGGUCCAAACUCCUACGGGAGGCAGCAG